GAAAGCGAUGCUAAUACCGAAUAACAUCCGAGCAACUUCGGUUGCCUGGAUCAAAGGUGGCCUCUACAUGUAAGCUACUGUUUGGAGACGGGCCCGCGUCCCAUUAGCUUGUUGGUGGGGUAACGGCCUACCAAGGCCGCGAUGGGUAGCUGGUCUGAGAGGAUGAUCAGCCACACUGGAACUGACACACGGUCCAGACUCCUACGGGAGGCAGCAGUGAGGAAUCUUGCGCAAUGGGGGAAACCCUGACGCAGCAACGCCGCGUGAGUGAUGAAGGCUUUCGGGUCGUAAAGCUCUGUCAAGUGGGAAGAAUCCACGUGAUGCUAAUAACAUCAUGUGCUGACGGUACCACUGAAGGAAGCACCGGCUAACUCCGUGCCAGCAGCCGCGGUAAUACGGGGGGUGCAAGCGUUACUCGGAAUUACUGGGCGUAAAGAGCGCGUAGGCGGUUUCUUAAGUCAGGUGUGAAAGCCCGGGGCUUAACCCCGGAAGUGCAUUUGAUACUGGGGUGACUUGAGUAUGGGAGAGGGGAAGA
rnacentral:rRNA from 1 species